CAACAGAACAGGGCUUGGGGGGCCAUCACUGGGCAACGGUGUGCCCUCGGCUGAGACUCGAUAAAGUUCCCCAGGUGGAGGGCGACACGACCUCUUCAACUGCCCCACCGUCCAGCAGUGAAAAUUAGCUGCAACAAAUGAUGCCAUCCGCUUUGAAUAUGUUAAAACUCCUGAAGAAGUUCUGGAAGAGAAAAACCUGAAACCACCUUCCCCACAGGACUCCCUAAAGACUGACAUUUUUGCCUGCUUGGUAGCCUCGGGAUUCCUGCUGAUCAUAGCUACAGUUUUCCAAAUUCUGAUUUUUUGUUAUGUUGAGUCAGUUUUUAUCCUACAACUGCCAAGGGAAGCAUUCUGCUAGGGGAAAGACCUGUUCAGCCAUACACCUUUGACUUUGCGUACCAUAACAGCUGAUUCCACAAGCUCAGUUUC
rnacentral:lncRNA from 1 species